CCUGAUGGAGCUGUCUUUCCUCUUCCAGUGGCUGCUCUUGCCCCUCUUCAGGUGAAGAACAUGCUGGUGCUUGUGGAUUCCUUAUUCCCAGCUCACAACGUUGUAGCCCUUUAUUAAACACCCCUAACACGUUCCAGAUAGUCUUCCUUCCAAGACCCCAAGGCAAUGCCUCUUCCAAAGGAAUGUACAACUCUUAGAAACAGGGACAUGGUCCCUGGCACAAUCCUAAGCACAGAGUAGGUACCUAAAGCUUGAAACCAAAAGUCAGCCCUCACUUAACAAAUGGAUGAAGAGUCAAAUAGAUUCUUAUUCUGAGCUAGGCAGCAGGUUAGCUACUAGAAGAGCCUAGUCUUCAGUUUUUAAAUUUAAUCUCGUAAACUCAGAAGACUCGUUGGCUCUUGGAGGUUUAGAUGAAUCUGGCUCACCUCUCAACCCCAGGGGUUCAAAGCUUGUGAAAAAUGCUUUGUUUCUCCAGAGAUGCCCCUGUCUCUACUCCCUUGGCUGUGACUGUCA
rnacentral:lncRNA from 1 species